UUGUUAGACAUAAACAGAAACCCUUUGAUAGAUUUUUUUUAGUCUCUAAGAUGCUGCAAUAUCACUUAAGUCCUUUGUGUCUUAGCCUCAGGUUUCCUGCUUUCAUUCUGCCACAGCUGUUCCACAUUUCCUCUGAUUACUUCAUCUGGUUCCUUUGUCAUAUAUCUACAUAUAUAUUUUUUGCUCCUGCUUCAGUUUUUUAAGAUCUUGGUUUUUCAUUAUUAUUUUUUCUUUUUUGCUGAAUGCCAGGGCCACAGGGCCAGAGAACAGAACCAGCUUUGACCGCGAACACUGUAGAGGUGAAUGGGUUAGAAACGCAGAACUGUAAAAAGGAUGUAAAAAGGUCGUGUGGUGAAGAAAUAGCUCAAGAGGCUCCUUCAAUGGAGUCAUCUGAUCGGGAUGGCAAAAAAUUUCCAUUUCUGGUCAUUUCCCAUUGGGAGGAGAGACCGUGGAGCAGUUUCUGUCAGACAAGGCAGCCAGUUCAUGCAGGAGAACAGCAAAGGACGGACGAUCUUCCGGUUUCUGAGAAACACAAACGAUUAUCAACGAGAGCUCUGAAUUUGCACAGUUUGUGUGAUUUGUUUUACUGGAC